UGGCCAUAUCACGUUGAAUCCUUCGGUUUCCAUACGAUCGCCGAAGUUAAGCAAUGUCGAGUCUGGUCAGUACCUAGAUAGGUAAACUGAUUGGGAAUACCAGGUGUU